rnacentral:rRNA from 1 species
AGAGUUUGAUCCUGGCUCAGGACGAACGCUGGCGGCGCGCCUAACACAUGCAAGUCAACGGGGUAUUGAGAGCUUGCUUUUGAUACCUAGUGGCGGACGGGUGAGUAACACGUGAGCAAUCUGCCCUUGUGAGGGGGAUAACGUCUGGAAACGGACGCUAAUACCGCAUAACAUACUGAGAUCGCAUGGUUUUGGUAUCAAAGAAUUAUCGCACAAGGAUGAGCUCGCGGCUGAUUAGCUAGUUGGCGGGGUAAAUGCCCACCAAGGCGACGAUCAGUAGCCGGACUGAGAGGUUGAACGGCCACAUUGGGACUGAGACACGGCCCAGACUCCUACGGGAGGCAGCAGUGGGGGAUAUUGCACAAUGGGGGGAACCCUGAUGCAGCGACGCCGCGUGAGGGAAGACGGCCUUCGGGUUGUAAACCUCUGUCGCAGGGGACGAAGGAGAUGACGGUACCCUGUGAGGAAGCCACGGCUAACUACGUG